rnacentral:misc_RNA from 1 species
GAUGAAGAACGUAGCGAAAUGCGAUAAGUAAUGUGAAUUGCAGAAUUCAGUGAAUCAUCGAAUCUUUGAACGCACAUUGCGCCCCCUGGUAUUCCGGGGGGCAUGCCUGUCCGAGCGUCAUUACAACCCUCAAGCUCAGCUUGGUGUUGGGCCCCGCCGCCCCGGCGGGCCCUAAAGUCAGUGGCGGUGCCGUCCGGCUCCGAGCGUAGUAAUUCUUCUCGCUCUGGAGGUCCGGUCGUGUGCUCGCCAGCAACCCCCAAUUUUUUUCAGGUUGACCUCGGAUCAGGUAGGGAUACCCGCUGAACUUAAGCAUAUUCAAUAAGCGGAGGA